rnacentral:rRNA from 1 species
AUUGAACGCUGGCGGCAUGCCUAACACAUGCAAGUCGAACGAUUGGCGGACGGGUGCGUAAUGUCUGGGACUCUGCCUCAUGGAGGGUGAUCACUACUUGCACCGUUAGCUACUCCCGCAUACCAUCUGAUGUGCCCAGAUGGGAUUAGCUAGUUGGUGGGGUAACGGCUCACCAAGGCGACGAUCCCUAGCUGGUCUGAGAGGAGGACCAGCCACACUGGAACUGAGACACGGCACAGACUCCUACGGGAGGCAGCAGUGGGGAAUAUUGCAAAAUGGGGGAAAGCCGGAUGCAGCCAUGCAGCGGGUAUGAAGAAGGCCUUCGGGUUGUAAAGUACUUUCAGAGGGGAGGCGUUACCCGCAGAAGAAGCACCGGCUAACUCCGUGCCAGCCGCCGCGGUAAUUC